GACGAACGCUGGCGGCGUGCUUAACACAUGCAAGUCGAACGGAAAGGCCUUGCUUUUGUGGGGUGCUCGAGUGGCGAACGGGUGAGUAACACGUGAGUAACCUGCCCUUGACUUUGGGAUAACUUCAGGAAACUGGGGCUAAUACCGGAUAGGAGCUCCUGCUGCAUGGGGGGGGUUGGAAAGUUUCGGCGGUUGGGGAUGGACUCGCGGCUUAUCAGCUUGUUGGUGGGGUAGUGGCUUACCAAGGCUUUGACGGGUAGCCGGCCUGAGAGGGUGACCGGCCACAUUGGGACUAAGAUACGGCCCAGACUCCUACGGGAGGCAGCAGUGGGGAAUAUUGCACAAUGGGCGGAAGCCUGAUGCAGCAACGCCGCGUGCGGGAUGACGGCCUUCGGGUUGUAAACCGCUUUCGCCUGUGACGAAGCGUGAGUGACGGUAAUGGGUAAAGAAGCACCGGCUAACUACGUG
rnacentral:rRNA from 1 species